rnacentral:rRNA from 1 species
GACGAACGCUGGCGGCGUGCUUAACACAUGCAAGUCGAACGCUGAACCCGCUUCGGUGGGGGAUGAGUGGCGAACGGGUGAGUAACACGUGGGCAACCUGCCCCCGGCUCUGGGAUAACUCCAAGAAAUUGGGGCUAAUACCGGAUGUGACCGCUGGCCGCAUGGUCUGGUGGUGGAAAGGGUUUCCGGCUGGGGAUGGGCUCGCGGCCUAUCAGCUUGUUGGUGGGGUAGUGGCCUACCAAGGCGACGACGGGUAGCCGGCCUGAGAGGGUGACCGGCCACACUGGGACUGAGACACGGCCCAGACUCCUACGGGAGGCAGCAGUGGGGAAUAUUGCGCAAUGGGCGGAAGCCUGACGCAGCGACGCCGCGUGGGGGAUGACGGCCUUCGGGUUGUAAACCUCUUUCAGCAGGGACGAAGCGCAAGUGACGGUACCUGCAGAAGAAGCACCGGCCAACUACGUG